UUAAGUAAGUAAGGGCGUACGGCGGAUGCCUUGGCCAUAUCAGCCGAAGAAGGACGCGAUAAGCUGCGAUAAGCUGCGGUGAGGUGCAAGUAACCAGUGACCCGCAGAUUUCCGAAUGGGGAAACCCGGCAGUAGUAGUACUGUCACCUCUCUUUGAGAGGAGGGCACCCGGUGAACUGAAACAUCUAAGUAGCCGGAGGAAGAGGAAUCAAAAGAGAUGCCCCCAGUAGCGGCGAGCGAAGCGGGCAAAGCCCAAACCGGAGCGGGAAACCGCACCGGGGUUGAGGACUACCAACAAGUACCCGGAUGAAGUCGAAUCAGGUGGGAACCUGAGCCAGAGACGGUGAGAGCCCGGUAGACGUAAAGAAGGGUAUGGGGUAGUAUCCAGAGUACCACGGGGCACGAGGAACCUUGUGGGAAGCAGGGGGGACCACCCUCCAAGGCGAAAUACUGAUAUGGACCGAUAGCGCAUAGUACCGUGAGGGAAAGGUGAAAAGAACCCCGGGAGGGGAAUGAAAGAGAACCUGAAACCGUAUGUCUACAAGCAGUCGAAGCACCGUAUGCGUGCGACGGCGUGCCUAUUGAAGAAUGAACCGGCGAGUUAUUUCAUCCGGCGAGGUUAAGCGGAAAACGCGGAGCCGAAGCGAAAGCGAGUCUGAACAGGGCGAUAAGUCGGAUGGAAUAGACCCGAAACCACAGUGAUCUAUCCAUGCCCAGGUUGAAGCACAGGUAAAAAUGUGUGGAGGACCGAACCAGUGAGCGUUGAAAAGCUUUUGGAUGAGGUGUGGAUAGGGGUGAAAUGCCAAUCGAACGUGGAGAUAGCUGGUUCUCCCCGAAAUAGCUUUAGGGCUAGCCUCAUGGCAAGAGUGCAGGCGGUAGAGCACUGAACAGGGUAGGGGCCUAUCCGGCUACCGAACCUAAUCAAACUACGAAUGGCUGUACUUAUCCAUGGGAGUCAGACUGCGAGUGAUAAGACCCGUAGUCAAGAGGGAAACAGCCCAGACCAACAGCUAAGGUCCCCAAUGCCGUACUAAGUGGUAAAGGAUGUGGAGUUUCGAAAACAACCAGGAUGUUGGCUUAGAAGCAGCCACCAUUAAAAGAGUGCGUAAUAGCUCACUGGUCGAGAGACUCUGCGCCGAAGAUGACCGGGGCUAAAGUACGGAACCGAAGCUUUGGCAUGUAUGUAAAUACAUGGGUAGGGGAGCGUUCCUGCAUGGGCGAAGCCUGACCGGAAGGACAGGUGGACAGGCAGGAAGUGAGAAUGCCGGUAUGAGUAGCGAAAAGAAAGGUGAGAAUCCUUUCCACCGAAAGCCUAAGGGUUCCUGGGCAACGAUCGUCGACCCAGGGUAAGUCGGGACCUAAUCCGAGGCGAAGACGCAUAGGAGAUGGACAACAGGUUGAAAUUCCUGUACCGACGUCGUCUGUUUGAGCGAUGGAGUGACACAAGAAGGAAAGUUCGCAUGCGAUUGGAAGAGCAUGUCUAAGCAGGUAGGUUGAAUACCAGGCAAAUCCGGUAUUCUAAAAGCCGAGAAGUGAUAGGGAGCCUGUAGAAAUACAGGUGAAGGAACCGGGACUCGAUUGUCAAGAAAAGCUUCUAGUGAGGACGACGCCGCCCGUACCAAAACCGACACAGGUAGGCAAGAAGAGAAUUCUAAGGUGCGCGGGAAAACCCUCGUUAAGGAACUCGGCAAAAUGUAUCCGUAACUUCGGGAAAAGGAUAACCCAGAGUACGUGAAGGAAAGAAACAUCCGGAGCGGGAAUGGGUGGCACAAGAGAGGCCCAAGCGACUGUUUACCACAAACACAGGCGUCUGCUAAAGAGAAAUCUGAUGUAUAGAUGCUGACACCUGCCCGGUGCUGGAAGGUUAAGAGGACGUGUUAGCCGCAAGGCGAAGCAGAGAAUUGAAGCCCCAGUAAACGGCGGCCGUAACUAUAACGGUCCUAAGGUAGCGAAAUUCCUUGUCGGGUAAGUUCCGACCCGCACGAAAGGUGUAACGA
rnacentral:rRNA from 1 species